AACACAAUAAGCAGCAGCAUUAGCUUCCCUUUUAAUAGGAGAAAAUUGAAUAGAAUGGAAAUGAGAACAGAGGUGCUUAAUUGAACUAACAGUGGUCUCAAUUUCACAGUACCUGUGAUCAUGAGCAUUACUGAGAUUGGUUACAACAAUUUGCGAGUCUGAUCUAACAAUGAUAGAAGCAAAACCUCUGGAUUGGGCCAAAAGCACCGCCUGCAAAACUACUCAACUUCUCGUACCAGUGGCAAAGAACAUAUGAUUUUAACAGCUAUGCCAUCAAUUACAUUUCCAUUACUGUCUCUACCUACAACUUCAAUAGCUGCAAAGUGCUGAUGAUCUUUCCACGCCACAUCACAAUUAAUUUUUAUGAAACCAGCAAGAGAAGGAACCCAUCUCACAGUGGCAUUAGGAUGGGAAUCAACUUCUCUAUCUGCAGAAAGAGGAGAAUUCAAAAGCCUCUGCUCUUCCAUCAUUUUAUAUACCCUUCUUGCUGUAGCUAGAGGAUCAGGAGUUACAUUUUCAAACACCAAUCUAUUACGCUCUUUCCAAAUCUGCCAGCAAGUAAAAGUUUCGAGAAUUUCCACUUCAAUAGUAUCUUGCUGAAGCAAUUGUAACCACCAAGUUGUAAAUAAAGGAAAUCCAAUUGGAUUUGGUUUAUAUGCACAUGGGCUCACAAACCAUACUGCCUUGGAGUGAUUACACCAAAACACAGAAUGUUCUAUUGUUUCCUUCUCCUUUUGACAAACAGAGCAAUAGGUCUGUUAUUCCAUUGCAACUGAGAUUGAGAAUUUAAAAGUCUGUAUACCAAUUUCACUGUAUAGCUUCCAUUCCUUUCAUGAUGCCAGAUAACUUUAUUUGCACAACCCCGCGGCCUUACUGGAAUUCCACAAAUGUGAUGAGCCAUGUCUUGCGAAAAUAAGGCUAAUAACAAAUCUUGUUUCCAUCUAAUCUAAUUAUGAUCUAUCAGAUCUGCCACAAGGUGAACAUUAGCUGGACAAUGGCCUGGUUUAGGAAAUCUAAAAUUGGGAGAGCAUGGAAACCAUGAAUCAUCCCAGAUAAGAGUGCUCUAUCCAUCCGCUAUGUUGUAUCUCCAUCCUUCUUUAAGAACAUCUCGGCCCGCUAACAAGCUUUGCCAAAUCUAUGAUCCUUUCCAAGAUCUUUUUGCUUGCCAAAAUUCCGAAUAAGGAAAAAUAUAAUCCUUUAAUCACCCUAGCCCACAGAGUGGAAGAAUUUGUUACCAAUCGCCAUCUUUGUUUUGUUAAGCAUGCAAGGUUAAAUUUCUCGAAAUCACGAAAACCCAUUCCUCUCAUAAAUUUGGAGCAUGAGGCUUUUGCUAACUGACCCAACGCAGCUUCUCUCUAUCUUGCUUUCCCCACUAAGAGCUGGAAGCCAUCCUAUUAAUCUUGGAAAAAAAAAACUCUUCAGGUAUUUUAAAAUUGCCAUGGAAUAUGCUGAGAUAGCAUUUACAACUGAUUUGAUCAUAACUUCAUGCCCCGCUUGUGACAACAGACUUUGUUUCCAAGCCUGUGUUCUAGCAGCAAUUCUUUUUGAAAUAAAGCUAACAGCCCCCGCCUUGGAUCUUCCCCAUACUGAAUGCAAACCCAAAUACUUUUUCUGAUUGCUGCAUUUCUACCAUGGACAGACUCGAAAGGUUUUCAUGCUUCAAAUUGGAAGGA
rnacentral:misc_RNA from 1 species